UACGAAGGGUGCAAGCGUUAAUCGGAAUUACUGGGCGUAAAGCGCGCGUAGGUGAUUCAGCAAGUUGGAUGCGAAAGCCCUGGGCGUCAACCUGGAACUGCAUCCAAAACUACUGAGCUAGAGUACGGUAGAGGGUAGUGGAAUUUCCUGUGUAGCGGUGAAAUGCGUAGAUAUAGGAAGGAACACCAGUGGCGAAGGCGACUACCUGGACUGAUACUGACACUGAGGUGCGAAAGCGUGGGGAGCAAACAGGAUUAGAA
rnacentral:rRNA from 1 species